rfam:Laribacter hongkongensis HLHK9, complete genome.
AGUCCCCUGCGGCGUUCGGGAUGGCUUAAUUUCCCAGAACCAAUAUUCGAUGCAAGGUUGCUGACAUUUAGCAUGUGGGCGUGUCGUGCUGGCUUGCCAGUGCGCCCGAAACAUGCGGUUGGCGACCACCUGAACCGUAAGGUUCGGGAUAAGCAGCCGGAUCGACGCUUGCGGGGGCAAA